UUUUAACAGUGUUUGCAGUCUGAAAUCCUUUGAUGUUGAAAGAAUAUUUCCUAUGAGGCAGCUAGCUAACAUGGCCCUUUUGCCUCUGGGAUAAAAAGGAAGGGAGAAGCAGUACAGAAAAGAUUAAAAAUGAUGUGGGGAGAGCUCUGAAAGGAACCAGGAAGCCCAGCUGAAGAGUAGACUAUGCAAAUGCAGACCAGAUGUUAACGGAGAAGCUGUGGCACAGAAGAUGACAGGUGCCACACAGAGAUGAAUAGUUCCUGGGAAGAUGAAGAGUGACCGCUGCUUGUGAAAAAGUAAAAAAGCACAUAAAGCUGCAGAGGGAAAGGCUGGGUGCUGGUGGAUUCUAAAGAUGUGUAAUACGAAAUGACAGGGAAAGGAAGUCUUUGGAGAAGAUUACAAAGAGGAAAAGGAGCAAGAGAAAGAAGGAAGAAUUAUGGGAUUUAAAACCUUUACUAUCAGAAAUUAUCACUUCACAAUGGAAAGUGCUGUUACCAAGGUGCUGCCACCAGAACCAAGAGAAGAAAGGAGAAGAGAGAUAGCAAAGGUGGAAGGGCACCAUGUCCCAGGGAGGAUGGCUGUCUGCUGCAGUUUUUGCCCAUAGUGCUGAAUGCUUUCAGACCUGCCAACAGCGUGGCUGUGCCCACAGGCCUGCUGGGAAUCACCCCAGACAGAGACAGGGAAAGGAAACUCUUCCUGCCUUCAAUCACAGAGGUGGUGGGACACCAGCCAGCUGCAGGCAGAUGACUUCUUAUUUUGCAUUAGAUUCCAACCUUUUUGGAAGCCAGCAAUUUGUGGAAUCGGUGGAGAACAAGCACUUCCUCCUGAAUGCCCUCCUUGCUCAGCUGAACCGUAGACUCCAGCGUCUCCAGUUUUACAGAAAUUUACAGGAAUUUUCUCCUGCUCUUCAGCUGACAUUCAUUUUGAUGAGGAUUCCAUGGGAAUACUGGAUUGGCUGAAGAGAUUUUCACUGUACUGCCUUCCAGCACGUUACCUUUCUCCUCUAGGCUAUAGUUCAGCUGAUGUACAGCCAACCAGAGCCUUCUGUUUUUGCAAACCAUUUAAAAAAAAAACUCAAAAUUAUGUUAAAAAUACACAACAACUGGAUUUCCUUGGCUCCUCUUUCUCCUUGUUCCUUGAUAACAUCAAUAUUUCUCUCUCAUUUGCCGAUAACAGCACUCAGAGUUUCAAACACAUCUCACCUCUGGUUCUAAUUCACUGUUGAAAUAUGAGAGAAAUCUGUCUGUUAAAGAAAAGCAAGAAAGAAAUAAAAAACAGCACCUUGGAGUUUAU
rnacentral:lncRNA from 1 species